UAGAAUAUGACCAAUAACAUUACAAGGU
rnacentral:piRNA from 1 species